CUGGGAUCCAGUCCCAGGUCAGCCCUCCUGCAGGGAGCCUGCUCCCUCUGCUCGUGUCUCUGUCUCUCUUUCUGUGUCUCUCAUGAAUAAAUAAAAUCUUUUAAAUUUAAGUAGCCACAUGUGGCUAGCAGUUACCAUAUUAGACCUCCUAGUUGUGUAGGAAUCUUAUGUGGGGGGAGAAUGUCUAGCAUCUCUUCCAAGCUAGUGCCCAGGCCACAGUGGCACUAAAUUGUCAGGGGAGACAUGCUCUAGCAUUUCCCACCCACCUGACAAGGGAGGAGACUUCUGUGCUCUGGAGGACAAAGCUGGAAGACACAGGGCUCUGCUUUCCUGGUAUCAGGACACAGCGGCACCCACCCUGAGCCAUGACACUUUGUUUAGGAAUCAAAUAAAUCCUUUUUCAAGUCGUUGUUGGGUUUUCUGCAGCUGGUAGCUGAAUACAAUUCUAAUUGCUACCCCUAAUCCAUUCUCUUACGGAGCCAGCACAUUAGCAGCCAUAUUGUAAAAAAUACGUUUGUAAAAUGUGAUUAGAUAGUAGAACCAGUUGUCACUGCCUACCUGACCAUUGCCUCAAUCUUCUUUUUGUAUUUGGGGUCUAUUUUGUUGCGGUACUCGGGCCUCAUCAGCAUAGCAGCGAAGCUGAAAGCAGAGUUCUUCAGGCCUGCUCUGUGACACUCGAUCACAGUAGACGUCAGGAUUGGCACAAUGUCUGCAAUAGAAACGGGACAGCAGAAUGUACAGUGCCUCUACUGUCGUGACUCCAUCCUCCUUCAGGAGGAAAACAGGAUCACAGCUUUCUAAAUUUGCUUUUUUCUGGCAAAAAAACAGAUAUGACCUGUUUGUUGAAUGAGGCAUAGCAGUGCAGUCACUGCUUAUCACAAUGUCCUUCCUGUGAUGAUCUUAUGUUUUGCCCUGUGACACCAGGACCUGCACUCCCUUGCUGUCACCUUUUGCAUGUAUCCUCUGAUACCACUGAGAUGCAUUUUUGCCUUUGACAGGGCUGCCCGUGAAUGGUAAGGGAGAUUACUAAUUUUAUGCACUGACCUCUCUACAUGUGUCUGUUUCUUCAGGACAGAUACCCAGAAGGUGAAUUACUGGAUCAAACAACAUGACUUUUUAAAAAAUGCUCCUAGCACAAACUGCCAAAUUGCUUUUUAGAAAGGCCAUACUGUUCCCCGGAGCAGUCAUGAGAGUGCCUGUCCUAUUACAUGGUACAGAAUUAUUUUAAAGUCUUUUUCAUGUGACAAAAAAGAAUACAGCUAUAGAAGAGGGGUUGCUGAAUUUUGACCUGUGGCCCAAAUCUGGCCCCCUGUUUUUGUAUAGCUCAUGAGCUAAGAAUGACUUUUAUGUUGUCAAAUGGUUGAAAGAAAUCGAAGAAGAGUAUUGUGACAUGUGAAGAUUAGAUGAGGUUUAAAUGUCAGCAUCCAAGAAAAAUAAAGUUAUGCUGGAACACAGCCAUGCUCAUUCACUUCCGUACGGUUUAUGUAAAAAUAGUAGUUGUGACCAACCGCUAUGGUCCAUGAAGCCCCAGACAUUGACAUCUGUACCUUUAUAGAAAGAUUUUGUUGACUCCUGUUGUAGAAUGUGAGAAAGUCUAUUAAUUGAAUGUUAUAAUGACGUGUCUUUUAGAAUAAUGGGACCAUAUUUAUAGCAGCAGUGGCCUUUCAUGGUUGAGGACAGAGUCAGACUUAUUAGCUAACACUGUGAUCUUGGGCAAGUGGUACUUCACUUCUUUUGCCUCAGUUUGCUUCUCUGUGAAAUAGGGAAAAUAAUAAUAGUACCCAUGGGUGUACUUUUGAAGCUGUUAUCCUUAGAAAGAUCUGCUUGAUCUUGGCUGGCAUCUUGGAACUUGGGUUUUGGGGAAGUUUCUGCCAUUUCCAGGUAAGAGUGACUCACAGUGCCUAAACUCUUUGUACAAACAAUGUGGUUUAAGCCAAACACCUGCUUUCUGGGAGUUUGGAAAUUUAGUGCAUGCCAAGCAGGGGAUGCCUACAUACCCAGCCCGCAGUACAACCCCUGGGCAUCGAGUCUCUCAUGAGCACCUCUGGUAGAUACCAUUUUAUAUGUGCUAUCACACAACUCACUGCCAGAGGAGUCAAGAGUGUCCUAGGUGACUCCACUUGGAGGGGACUCCUGGAAACUUGCCUGUUUUCCUCCGGACUCUGCCCCGAGUGCCUUUUCCCUUUGCCAAUUUGGUUUUUGUAUUCUUUUGCUGAAAUCAGUCUUAGCCUUCAGCACUACUACUAUGUUGAGUUGUGUGAGUCCUAGUGAACUGUCAAACCUGGGGGUGUCUUGGGAUCCCAUUAUACUACUUCCUGGGGGGGUGACUGUGAGGAUUAAAUAGGUUAAUUUAUGCAGAGAACAGUGGCUGGCUGAGUUAGUGACUGCUAUUAAUGCAGAAAUAUGGAUGACAGGCUCUUCUCAACAGUACUUACGUGACGGAAACUUGCUGAUGUUGUUGGCCACCCGAAUAAGCAUACGUGCCCCUUUCAUAUGAUCUCCAUUUUUAACGUGAAUCUGAAAUAAAUGAUGUAUUUUACUAACUGUAAGAUAUUUUGAUUAAUCUUAAUUCAUGCUUUAUUCCCUUAGAUAAUCAACUCCUUCAUUAUCACCCUGAACAGGGUCGUCCCAUGAUCCUCACAGCCUUUCUUGGCUUACUGGACUUGGGAUUUCUCCUUUAUUUCUCCUUCCAGCAGCUGCUGCCUGGCACCAUGGCCUCACUGGCCUUACCCCUUCUCUGUGCUCUGCUUUUUACUUUACCCUAGACCACGUGACAUGAGUUCAAAUCCCUGAUCUAUCUUUUACUGGCCAUCGUUGGAGGGUUAAUAAUACCAACUUUGCCAAGUUAUUGUGAGACCUGAAAGUGGAGUCUCUCAGGCAGAAAGGAUGAGUUGUUAAGGGAAGAGGGCACUGCUGUGGUUAAGGCCAAGGGGCAGUGGUGGCUGGAAAGACUGGGUGAGUACGGAGUGAGUAUGUGUGUGGUCUGUGAUCAUGGCCAGGCCAUGAUGUCACAGUAUCAUCCAGCAAGAUGGGGUAGCCCACAGAGGUGAGGCAGGAGAUAGGGGUGGGGGUGGAGAGAAGUAGACCCAGUAGGAGGCAGAACUGGUGGUAUUUGGUGAGAAUGUGCAGGGCGAGUUUAGAGUAACUCCCAGGCAUCAGGUCUAAGCAAAUGGAAGAUAGUAUAAUUUACUGAGCUCUGCAACAUAAUAAAUAUUAACUGAAUCUCAAGAAGGGAUAGGGAAUCCCUUGCUGCUUGUCCUCCACUGACUCUCUGGGCCUCAGAAUGUUUGGUGUUUGCAUAAGAGUUGAGAACUGUGGCAAUAGGGAAGAGUCACAGGUGCCCCUCAGUGGGAGGGGAGCAGGGUGUCUGGUUGGUCCUAUGUAAGUGACAGGCCAGCUCUUGGGGCCAGAGGAAAAGACUUGAGAGCCAUCCCUGUGAUGAAUGGUGGUAGAAAGCCCUGGUUCUGGAGGGCUUCUUAGGAUUCCCUAACCCUUGCUUCCCGUCUUCUACCCCACAAAACUCCAUUUUGCUGGAUUCUGUGCUCCUAGCACAUUGGCAUCACCACUCAUGCCUGCAGUUGAGAGAAGUCUCCCUUCUCCCUUUCUACUUCUUUCCAUGUGAGAAGUAUGGAGAUCUAGAAAAUGGCUCUAAUCCGAUGGAGAGGUGCCCAUGAGAAAUCCCUUCAGGUGAUAAACUCACUUGGCAGACUACGUCCCGAGUCACUCGAAGGGCCUCACCUUCACUAGUAUAUAGCUGUGCAGAAUCAUGAGGUUGGUAGCCAUCUCCGAGGGAAUCUUGAUCUUCUGGGAUUUAAGUUCUGCAUACAUACUAAAGAGAACGUCGUGGGCAUUCCGAUAGUUUCCUUGAAAAAAGGUGGCAGAAUGAUAUUAUUGCAGAGGAUGAAAUCUGAGGGCUUCCUGUAGUCCUUAUUUUUUUGAAGUUUUUAUUGAAAUUCCAACAUACGGUGUAAUAUUAGUUUCAGGUGUACAAUAUAGUGGCUCAAGAUUUCUAUGCAUCACCAGGGGCUCAUCAUCAUGUGGACCCUCACUGUACAGGCAGACUUUGUUACCAGCAUUAUCUUUUAAAUUUCUCAUCUAAAAUAACUUAAUAGUUUUUCCUGUGCUAACUGAUGAUAGUGUCCAGCCAGUCCCUCAGGGAGAGAAUGUUGUCAUCUGAGGUAUCUCCUUCCUCAGGGCACCACCUGCUCCCAAAGCCAGGGGGUCAGCCCAGUUCUGAGUCUACCUUCUAAGCCUCCAAAGUCCAGCCCCACGGGUCGCUUUCAUGCUUCUCGCCAGCACCACUCUGCAGCAGCAUACUAAUUGGCACUCCCCUGUGCUUGUUCUGCCUCCAUUCUCAUGUCAGAGUGUUCUGGAAAAAUGCCAAAUUCACACUCCAACAGAAAACCCUCCAAGGGCCUUGGGGAUGGAGUACAAGUUCCUGAGCAGAGGGCCCGAGCCCUUCAGGAUCUGCCUCUGCCUGCCUGAUGGACCUGCCUCUGAGCCCUGGUAGGUGCCCCUGCACCCCCUGCUGCUGUUCUCCUUGGACACCCCCUUCUCCCUCAGCUCCUGCCUGAACCUCGGCCUUUCAAAACUCGGGGGGAACUUCUGUUGCCUUCUCUCCUCUCCAUCCUCCAACUCCCUAUACAUCCACCCCUCAGGAUGAGGUGGGUCUCUCUCAUGGUGCCCUUCUAAUGGGUUUUCUUUCCACUCUGGCACUUCUCAGCCUGUAUAACAACUCUGAAUCUACUUUCUAUGUGUCCCACCUAACCAGGACUCCCUAAGGGCAGAACUGGGGCUCAGUCCUCUGAAUCCUGAGCCCGCAUCAUGUAUCCCUAUAGUAAGUGUUGGAUCAAUGUAAAAUGAAUAAAGUAGUGAUUUUUUAAAUUCUA